rnacentral:lncRNA from 1 species
AAAUUUUUUACCUCACUGGAUUUGGUAGUUGUAAGUAAGCAGUGCAUUUUUCAGUUUCUUGUGUGAAUGAAUUCUUGAGUUUAUGAAGAUUGCUGAGGUCCAAAAAGGCCAACUAGGGAUAGCCUAUCUGGAUGGCCUACCUGCCUGUCCCUGACUGCUACUAGCCUGGCUCUGGUUAUGGCAUGACAUUUUGUUUGUUGUGUGGCCCUGGGAAUAAUGAGCAUCCGUGAAGAGCAGACGUGGUCCCUGUCCUCUGGAUUCUGUAGUUGGACUAGUGAAGACAAACCUAAAGCUUCCUGUGCUGCUGCCUGUGCUACAGUCUUGAUCCACAGUGGCUGCCUCUACAAGUGUCCAGAGUGUACACUAUUAGAAGGCAUCGAUCAUCUCCUGGACAUGAGUUCUCAAAUUUACAUGCCUCAAUUCUAGAGUUUAUUUUAAAAUCAGGUUUCAGUCUUUUUCCCUCCUCCUACCUACCCCCUACCUCAAGAGGUCUGACUCAAUAGGUCAGAGAUGAGUGGAGUGGGUGAGGAAUUUUUUUUUUUUUU